AUGGCAGUCACCCUUUGGUCCAUAUGGCAUGCCCGGCGAAAAGCUAUACAUGAAGCAAUAUUCCAGAGCCCUCAAGUAACCCAUGGCUUCAUCGAGAGGUACCUGCAGGACUUGGAUACAUGCCAGAAUCAGAGCACAAAUGUCGCCAUACCACGACCAGUUCAUACGAAACCAAAAAAACCUCCUCCGGGACACCAUAAAAUCCAUGUUGAUCCGGGUGUUCGAGUGAGGAGAGGUGGAUCAGCGGUAGCUGUCUGUAGAGAUGAAGAUGGCAACUAUAUUGGAAGCUCGGCCCUGGUAGUUGAAGGAGUUUGUGAUCCCCCAACUUUGGAGGCAAUAGCAUGCCAUGAAGCUUUGGCCCUGGCAGAGGAUCUGGGCAUCCACCAUUUCAUCGUAGCAUCUGAUUGUCGACGGGUCGUGCUAAACAUCGCCAGAAGGGCACGCGGGCAUUAUGGCGCUGUCAUCAAUGAGAUCAACAUCAAACCCUCUACUUUUUCGUGUAAUUUUUCUUUUGAAAGUCGUGCUGCAAACUAUGAAGCACAUCGCUUAGCUAAAUUUGCGCUUUCUAGAGGUCCGGGUCGCCAUGUCUGGUAUGGUGUUCCUCAUGACCAAGUGUGUAUCCCACUUCAUGUGGUUUUUGAUGAAUAA
rnacentral:rRNA from 1 species